AUUGAACGCUGGCGGCAUGCCUUACACAUGCAAGUCGAACGGUAACAGGUCUUCGGAUGCUGACGAGUGGCGAACGGGUGAGUAAUACAUCGGAACGUGCCUAGUAGUGGGGGAUAACUACUCGAAAGAGUGGCUAAUACCGCAUGAGAUCUACGGAUGAAAGCAGGGGAUCGCAAGACCUUGUGCUACUAGAGCGGCCGAUGGCAGAUUAGGUAGUUGGUGGGAUAAAAGCUUACCAAGCCGACGAUCUGUAGCUGGUCUGAGAGGACGAUCAGCCACACUGGGACUGGGACACGGCCCAGACUCCUACGGGAGGCAGCAGUGGGGAAUUUUGGACAAUGGGCGAAAGCCUGAUCCAGCAAUGCCGCGUGCAGGAUGAAGGCCUUCGGGUUGUAAACUGCUUUUGUACGGAACGAAAAGCCCUGGGUUAAUACCCUGGGGUCAUGACGGUACCGUAAGAAUAAGCACCGGCUAACUACGUGCCAGCAGCCGCCGCCA
rnacentral:rRNA from 1 species